rnacentral:rRNA from 1 species
UACGAAGGGGGCUAGCGUUGCUCGGAAUCACUGGGCGUAAAGCGCACGUAGGCGGAUUCCUAAGUCGGUGGUGAAAUCCUGGAGCUCAACUCCAGAACUGCCUUCGAUACUGGGAAUCUUGAGUCCGGAAGAGGUGAGUGGAACUGCGAGUGUAGAGGUGAAAUUCGUAGACAUUCGCAAGAACACCAGUGGCGAAGGCGGCUCACUGGUCCGGUACUGACGCUGAGGUGCGAAAGCGUGGGGAGCAAACAGG